rnacentral:rRNA from 1 species
CAGCAGCCGCGGUAAUACGUAGGGUGCAAGCGUUAAUCGGAAUUACCGGGCGUAAAGGGAGCGUAGGCGGACAUUUAAGUCAGGGGUGAAAUCCCAGAGCUCAACUCUGGAACUGCCUUUGAUACUGGGUGUCUUGAGUGUGAUAGAGGUAUGUGGAACUCCGAGUGUAGAGGUGAAAUUCGUAGAUAUUCGGAAGAACACCAGUGGCGAAGGCGACAUACUGGAUCAUUACUGACGCUGAGGCUCGAAAGCGUGGGGAGCAAACAGGAUUAGAUACCCCCGUAGUCCCUGUCUCUUAUAC